UUGAAGUUGACGAGUGCUUACC
rnacentral:siRNA from 1 species